UAAACGACUCUCGGCAACGGAUAUCUCGGCUCACGCAUCGAUGAAGAACGUAGCAAAAUGCGAUACUUGGUGUGAAUUGCAGAAUCCCGUGAACCAUCGAGUUUUUGAACGCAAGUUGCGCCCGAAGCCUUUUGGCCAAGGGCACGUCUGCCUGGGCGUCACGC
rnacentral:rRNA from 3 species